GCCCCUAUUGUCUAAUGGCUAUGACGUCAGACUUCUAAUCACGUGAUUAUCUGGAGGUUGCGGGUUCGAGUCCCGCUAGGGGUU